rnacentral:rRNA from 1 species
GAUGAACGCUGGCGGCGUGCCUAAUACAUGCAAGUCGAGCGAACGGACGAGACGCUUGCUUUUCUGAUGUUAGCGGCGGACGGGUGAGUAACACGUGGAUACCCUCCCUAUCUGUCUGGGAUCACUUCGGGACUCCGGAGCUAAUACCGGAUAAUCUUUUGAUCCGCAUGGUUCAUUAGUGAAAGACGGUCUUGCUGUCUCUUAUAGCUGGUUCCGCGCUGCAUUAGCUAGUUGGUAAGGUAACGGCUUACCACGGCGACGAUGCAUAGCCGACGUGAGAGGGGGAUCGCCCACACGGGAACGUGGACAGUGACAUUGCUCCUGCGGGAGGCACCAGUAGGGAAUCUGCGGCAGUAGGCGAAAACCUGACGGAACAACGCCGCGUGAGAUAUGAAGAUCUUCGGAGCGGAAAACUCGGUUAUUGGGGAAAAACAGAUGUGGAAUGAACUGUGCACAUCGUGACGGUAACUAAUCAGAAAGCCACGGCUAACUACGUG